UACAGAGGUCUCGAGCGUUGUUCGGAUUCAUUGGGCGUAAAGGGCGCGUAGGCGGCGGGGUAAGUCUGGUGUGAAAUCUCGGAGCUCAACUCCGAAAUUGCACUGGAUACUGCUCUGCUAGAGGGCUGGAGAGGAGAUCGGAAUUCACGGUGUAGCAGUGAAAUGCGUAGAUAUCGUGAGGAAGACCAGUGGCGAAGGCGGAUCUCUGGACAGCUCCUGACGCUGAGGCGCGAAGGCUAGGGGAGCAAACGGGA
rnacentral:rRNA from 1 species